ensembl:misc_RNA 7SK 7SK RNA
GGAUGUGAGGGCGGUCUGGCUGCGAUAUCUGUCACCCCAUUGAUCGCCAGGGUUGUUUCGGCUGAUCUGGCUGGCUAGGCAGGUGUCCCCUUCCUCCCUCACCGCUCCAUGUGCGUCCCUCCCGAAGCUGCACGCUCGGUCGAAGAGGACGGCCUUCCCGGAAUAGAGACGGACCGGUCUUCGGUCGAGGGUAUAGGAGUAGCUGCGCUCCCCUGCUAGAACCUCCAAAGAAGCUCUUGAGGCCCCAAAGCAUCGUGUGUACUCUAUCAGGUGAACGGCCACGCUGAUAAACAUGAGUAUAU